rnacentral:rRNA from 1 species
AGGACGAACGCUGGCGGCGUGCUUAACACAUGCAAGUCGAGCGGAAAGGCCCUUCGGGGUACUCGAGCGGCGAACGGGUGAGUAACACGUGAGUAGUCUGCCCCUAGCUCUGGGAUAGCUCCGGGAAAACCGGGAUUAAUACCAGAUACAACCACUUUAGACAUCUCUUGUGGUGGAAAGAAUUUCGGCUAGGGAUGAACUCGCGGCCUAUCAGCUUGUUGGUGAGGUAACGCUCACCAAGGCGACGACGGGUA